GAUGAACGCUGGCGGCGUGCCUAAUACAUGCAAGUCGAGCGAACGGACGAGAAUCUUGCUUCUCUGAUGUUAGCGGCGGACGGGUGAGUAACACGUGGAUAACCUACCUAUAAGACUGGGAUAACUUCGGGAAACCGUAGCUAAUACCGGAUAAUAUUUUGAACCGCAUGGUUCAAAAGUGAAAGACGGUCUUGCUGUCACUUAUAGAUGGAUCCGCGCUUCAUUAGCUAGUUGGUAAGGUAACGGCUUACCAAGGCAACGAUGCAUAGCCGACCUGAGAGGGUGAUCGGCCACACGGGAACUGAGACACGGUCCAGACUCCUACGGGAGGCAGCAGUAGGGAAUCUUCCGCAAUGGGCGAAAGCCUGACGGAGCAACGCCGCGUGAGUGAUGAAGGUCUUCGGAUCGUAAAACUCUGUUAUUAGGGAAGAACAAAUGUGUAAGUAACUGUGCACGUCUUGACGGUACCUAAUCAGAAAGCCACGGCUAACUACGUG
rnacentral:rRNA from 1 species